GAUGAACGCUGGCGGCGUGCCUAAUACAUGCAAGUCGAGCGAACGGACGAGAAGCUUGCUUCUCUGAUGUUAGCGGCGGACGGGUGAGUAACACGUGGAUAACCUACCUAUAAGACUGGGAUAACUUCGGGAAACCGGAGCUAAUACCGGAUAAUAUUUUGAACCGCAUGGUUCAAAAGUGAAAGACGGUCUUGCUGUCACUUAUAGAUGGAUCCGCGCUGCAUUAGCUAGUUGGUAAGGUAACGGCUUACCAAGACAACGAUGCAUAGCCGACCUGAGAGGGUGAUAGGCCACACUGGAACUGAGACACGGUCCAGACUCCUACGGGAGGCAGCAGUAGGGAAUCUUCCGCAAUGGGCGAAAGCCUGACGGAGCAACGCCGCGUGAGUGAUGAAGGUCUUCGGAUCGUAAAACUCUGUUAUUAGGGAAGAACAUAUGUGUAAGUAACUGUGGACAUCUUGACGGUACCUAACCAGAAAGCCACGGCUAACUACGUG
rnacentral:rRNA from 1 species